CCAGACUCCUACGGGAGGCAGCAGUGGGGAAUAUUGCACAAUGGGGGAAACCCUGAUGCAGCGACGCCGCGUGAGUGAAGAAGUAUUUCGGUAUGUAAAGCUCUAUCAGCAGGGAAGAAAAUGACGGUACCUGACUAAGAAGCCCCGGCUAACUACGUGCCAGCAGCCGCGGUAAUACGUAGGGGGCAAGCGUUAUCCGGAUUUACUGGGUGUAAAGGGAGCGUAGACGGCAUGGCAAGUCAGAUGUGAAAGGCCGGGGCUCAACCCCGGGACUGCAUUUGAAACUGUCAGGCUGGAGUGCAGGAGAGGGAAGUGGAAUUCCUAGUGUAGCGGUGAAAUGCGUAGAUAUUAGGAGGAACACCAGUGGCGAAGGCGGCUUACUGGACUGUAACUGACGUUGAGGCUCGAAAGCGUGGGGAGCAAACAGGAUUAGAUACCCCCGUACAA
rnacentral:rRNA from 1 species